rnacentral:rRNA from 1 species
AUACGGAGGACGCGAGCGUUAUCCGGAUUUAUUGGGUUUAAAGGGAGCGCAGGCGGAGAUGCAAGCGUGACGUCAAAUUUCGGGGCUCAACCCCGUCUCGCGUCGCGAACUGAGUCCCUUGGUUGCGGGAAGGGGAGGCGGAACUCGUGGUGUAGCGGUGAAAUGCAUAGAUAUCACAAGAACUCCGAUCGCGAAGGCAGCCUUCCGGCCCGUCAACGACGCUCAUGCUCGAAGGUGCGGGUAUCAAACAGGAUUAGAUACCCUGGUAGUCCGCACAGUAAACGAUGGACACCCGCGGUUUGGCCUGUAUGGCUGAGCCGCCAAGCGAAAGCGUUAAGUGUCCCACCUGGGGAGUACGCCGGCAACGGUGAAACUCAAAGGAAUUGGCGGGG